rnacentral:tRNA from 2 species
GCUGGAGUGGCGGAAUUGGCAGACGCACUGGACUCAAAAUCCAGCGCCCCUUACCGGGCGUGAGGGUUCGACCCCCUCCUCCAGCACCA